rnacentral:rRNA from 1 species
UUAGCGGCGGACGGGUGAGUAAUGCUUAGGAAUCUGCCUAUUAGUGGGGGACAACAUUUCGAAAGGAAUGCUAAUACCGCAUACGCCCUACGGGGGAAAGCAGGGGAUCUUCGGACCUUGCGCUAAUAGAUGAGCCUAAGUCGGAUUAGCUAGUUGGUGGGGUAAAGGCCUACCAAGGCGACGAUCUGUAGCGGGUCUGAGAGGAUGAUCCGCCACACUGGGACUGAGACACGGCCCAGACUCCUACGGGAGGCAGCAGUGGGGAAUAUUGGACAAUGGGGGGAACCCUGAUCCAGCCAUGCCGCGUGUGUGAAGAAGGCCUUUUGGUUGUAAAGCACUUUAAGCGAGGAGGAGGAGCUCUAGAUUAAUACUCUAGAUGCUUGGACGUUACUCGCAGAAUAAGCACCGGCUAACUCUGUGCCAGCAGCCGCGGUAAUACAGAGGGUGCAAGCGUUAAUCGGAUUUACUGGGCGUAAAGCGUGCGUAGGUGGUCUUUUAAGUCGGAUGUGAAAUCCCUGAGCUUAACUUAGGAAUUGCAUUCGAUACUGGGAGACUAGAGUAUGGGAGAGGAUGGUAGAAUUCCAGGUGUAGCGGUGAAAUGCGUAGAGAUCUGGAGGAAUACCGAUGGCGAAGGCAGCCAUCUGGCCUAAUACUGACACUGAGGUACGAAAGCAUGGGGAGCAAACAGGAUUAGAUACCCUGGUAGUCCAUGCCGUAAACGAUGUCUACUAGCCGUUGGGGCC